CAUGGAGUUGAGGCUCAGCUGGGCUUUUCUUUUUAUUCUUUUAAAAGAUGUCUGCUGUGAAGAGCAGCUGGUGGAAUCUGGAGGAAGCCUGGUGCAGCCUGGAGGAUCCCUGAGAAUCUCUUGUGCAGCCUCUGGAUUCACCUUCAGUAGCUACUGGAUGAGCUGGGUCCGCCAGGCUCCAGGGAAGGGGCUGGAAUGGGUAGCACAAAUUAAUUAUGAUGGUGGUAGCACAUACUACCCAGACUCUGUAAAGGGGCGAUUCACCAUCUCCAGAGACAAUUCCAGGAACACUCUGUACCUGCAAAUGAGCAAUCUGAGAGUUGAGGACACCGCCAUGUAUUACUGUGCAAGAGACACAGUUACCAGACUUCAAUUUGAGUCCAGGCAUAAACCUCCCUGCAGGGGUGAUCAGCAGGUGGCGCUCAGCACACUUUAA